UACGUAGGGUGCAAGCGUUGUCCGGAAUUAUUGGGCGUAAAGAGCUCGUAGGCGGUUUGUCGCGUCUGCUGUGAAAACACGAGGCUCAACCUCGGGCCUGCAGUGGGUACGGGCAGACUAGAGUGCGGUAGGGGAGAUUGGAAUUCCUGGUGUAGCGGUGGAAUGCGCAGAUAUCAGGAGGAACACCAAUGGCGAAGGCAGAUCUCUGGGCCGUAACUGACGCUGAGGAGCGAAAGCAUGGGGAGCGAACAGG
rnacentral:rRNA from 1 species